CACUUUCCCACUCCCAGUUCCCGUGU
rnacentral:piRNA from 1 species